GAAGACAGUUAUGCUUUUGAGUCUCAGAAACAGGUUAGGUUUUUGAAGCUCAAAAAAAUGAUUACUUCACAGAUGAAAUAACACCAGUUGAGCUGAAAGUACGACGGAAUUCUAUCAUAUUUGACACAGAUGAAUAUCCAAAAAAUGAUACUACGUUAGAUUUGUUAGCUGCAUUGAGGCCUGUUUUUAAAUUGUUACUGCUGGAAAUGCAUCAGGAAUGAUUAAUGAACAAUGGUGCUGUGGUAGUACUUCUAAUAAACGAAGAAGAAUGCAAAAACGAGAUUGAAAAAGAUAGUUGGAUUAUGGAUAGCGUCGAUAUUUUUGAAUUAAAUGAAGCGUUUGCUGCACAAUCAAUUGCUGUUUAGGAUUAAAUUCAAAUAGAGUGAAUAUCAAUAGAGGUGCAAUUGAAUUGGGUCAUCCUAUUGGAGCAUCUGGUA